rnacentral:rRNA from 1 species
CACGUAGGGGGCAAGCGUUGUCCGGAUUUAUUGGGCGUAAAGAGCUCGUAGGCGGUUCGGUAAGUCGGGUGUGAAACCUCCAGGCUCAACCUGGAGACGCCACCUGAUACUGCUGUGACUCGAGUCCGGUAGGGGAGCGUGGAAUUCCUGGUGUAGCGGUGAAAUGCGCAGAUAUCAGGAGGAACACCGAUGGCGAAGGCAGGUCACUGGCCGCAACUGACGCUGAGGAGCGAAAGCAUGGGGAGCGAACAGG